rnacentral:rRNA from 1 species
AGUGAACGCUGGCGGUAGGCCUAACACAUGCAAGUCGAACGGCAGCACAGUAAGAGCUUGCUCUUACGGGUGGCGAGUGGCGGACGGGGGAGGAAUACAUCGGAAUCUACUUUUUCGUGGGGGAUAACGUAGGGAAACUUACGCUAAUACCGCAUACGACCUACGGGGGAAAGCAGGGGAUCUUCUGACCUUGCGCGAUUGAAUGAGCCGAUGUCGGAUUAGCUAGUUGGCGGGGGAAAGGCCCACCAAGGCGACGAUCCGUAGCUGGUCUGAGAGGAUGAUCAGCCACACUGGAACUGAGACACGGUCCAGACUCCUACGGGAGGCAGCAGUGGGGAAUAUUGGACAAUGGGCGCAAGCCUGAUCCAGCCAUACCGCGUGGGUGAAGAAGGCCUUCGGGUUGUAAAGCCCUUUUGUUGGGAAAGAAAAGCAGCAGGUUAAUACCCCGCUGUUCUGACGGUACCCAAAGAAUAAGCACCGGCUAACUUCGUG